rnacentral:rRNA from 1 species
CCUACGGGAGGCAGCAGUAGGGAAUCUUCCGCAAUGGACGAAAGUCUGACGGAGCAACGCCGCGUGAACGAUGAAGGCCUUCGGGUCGUAAAGUUCUGUUGUUAGGGAAGAACAAGUGCUAGUUAAAUAAGCCGGCACCUUGACGGUACCUAACCAGAAAGCCACGGCUAACUACGUGCCAGCAGCCGCGGUAAUACGUAGGUGGCAAGCGUUGUCCGGAAUUAUUGGGCGUAAAGCGCGCGCAGGCGGUUUCUUAAGUCUGAUGUGAAAGCCCCCGGCUCAACCGGGGAGGGUCAUUGGAAACUGGGAAACUUGAGUGCAGAAGAGGAAAGUGGAAUUCCAAGUGUAGCGGUGAAAUGCGUAGAGAUUUGGAGGAACACCAGUGGCGAAGGCGACUUUCUGGUCUGUAACUGACGCUGAGGCGCGAAAGCGUGGGGAGCAAACAGGAUUAGAUACCCUGGUAGUCCACGCUGUAAACGAUGAGUGCUAAGUGUUAGAGGGUUUCCGCCCUUUAGUGCUGAAGUUAACGCAUUAAGCACUCCGCCUGGGGAUACGGUCGCAAGACUGAAACUCAAAGGAAUUGACG